GGACACGUGGUAUCCUGUCUGAAUAUGGGGGGACCAUCCUCCAAGGCUAAAUACUCCUGACUGACCGAUAGUGAACCAGUACCGUGAGGGAAAGGCGAAAAGAACCCCGGCGAGGGGAGUGAAAAAGAACCUGAAACCGUGUACGUACAAGCAGUGGGAGCACCCUUUGGGGUGUGACUGCGUACCUUUUGUAUAAUGGGUCAGCGACUUAUAUUCUGUAGCAAGGUUAACCGAAUAGGGGAGCCGGAGGGAAACCGAGUCUUAACCGGGCGUUAAGUUGCAGGGUAUAGACCCGAAACCCGGUGAUCUAGCCAUGGGCAGGUUGAAGGUUGGGUAACACUAACUGGAGGACCGAACCGACUAAUGUUGAAAAAUUAGCGGAUGACCUGUGGCUGGGGGUGAAAGGCCAAUCAAACCGGGAGAUAGCUGGUUCUCCCCGAAAGCUAUUUAGGUAGCGCCUCGUGAAUUCAUCUCCGGGGGUAGAGCACUGUUUCGGCUAGGGGGCCAUCCCGGCUUACCAACCCGAUGCAAACUGCGAAUACCGGAGAAUGUUAUCACGGGAGACACACGGCGGGUGCUAACGUCCGUCGUGAAGAGGGAAACAACCCAGACCGCCAGCUAAGGUCCCAAAGUCAUGGUUAAGUGGGAAACGAUGUGGGAAGGCCCAGACAGCCAGGAUGUUGGCUUAGAAGCAGCCAUCAUUUAAAGAAAGCGUAAUAGCUCACUGGUCGAGUCGGCCUGCGCGGAAGAUGUAACGGGGCUAAACCAUGCACCGAAGCUGCGGCAGCGACGCUGAUGCGUUGUUGGGUAGGGGAGCGUUCUGUAAGCCUGCGAAGGUGUGUCGUGAGGCAUGCUGGAGGUAUCAGAAGUGCGAAUGCUGACAUAAGUAACGAUAAAGCGGGUGAAAAGCCCGCUCGCCGGAAGACCAAGGGUUCCUGUCCAACGUUAAUCGGGGCAGGGUGAGUCGACCCCUAAGGCGAGGCCGAAAGGCGUAGUCGAUGGGAAACGGGUUAAUAUUCCCGUACUUGGUGUUACUGCGAAGGGGGGACGGAGAAGGCUAUGUUGGCCGGGCGACGGUUGUCCCGGUUUAAGCGUGUAGGUGUGUGUUCCAGGUAAAUCCGGUUCACUUUAACACUGAGGCGUGAUGACGAGGCACUACGGUGCUGAAGCAACAAAUGCCCUGCUUCCAGGAAAAGCCUCUAAGCAUCAGGUAACAUCAAAUCGUACCCCAAACCGACACAGGUGGUCAGGUAGAGAAUACCAAGGCGCUUGAGAGAACUCGGGUGAAGGAACUAGGCAAAAUGGUGCCGUAACUUCGGGAGAAGGCACGCUGACACGUAGGUGAAGUGAUUUACUCAUGGAGCUGAAGUCAGUCGAAGAUACCAGCUGGCUGCAACUGUUUAUUAAAAACACAGCACUGUGCAAACACGAAAGUGGACGUAUACGGUGUGACGCCUGCCCGGUGCCGGAAGGUUAAUUGAUGGGGUCAGCGCAAGCGAAGCUCCUGAUCGAAGCCCCGGUAAACGGCGGCCGUAACUAUAACGGUCCUAAGGUAGCGAAAUUCCUUGUCGGGUAAGUUCCGACCUGCACGAAUGGCGUAAUGAUGGCCAGGCUGUCUCCACCCGAGACUCAGUGAAAUUGAACUCGCUGUGAAGAUGCAGUGUACCCGCGGCAAGACGGAAAGACCCCGUGAACCUUUACUAUAGCUUGACACUGAACAUUGAGCCUUGAUGUGUAGGAUAGGUGGGAGGCUUUGAAGUGUGGACGCCAGUCUGCAUGGAGCCGGCCUUGAAAUACCACCCUUUAAUGUUUGAUGUUCUAACGUGGACCCGUGAUCCGGGUUGCGGACAGUGUCUGGUGGGUAGUUUGACUGGGGCGGUCUCCUCCUAAAGAGUAACGGAGGAGCACGAAGGUUGGCUAAUCCUGGUCGGACAUCAGGAGGUUAGUGCAAUGGCAUAAGCCAGCUUGACUGCGAGCGUGACGGCGCGAGCAGGUGCGAAAGCAGGUCAUAGUGAUCCGGUGGUUCUGAAUGGAAGGGCCAUCGCUCAACGGAUAAAAGGUACUCCGGGGAUAACAGGCUGAUACCGCCCAAGAGUUCAUAUCGACGGCGGUGUUUGGCACCUCGAUGUCGGCUCAUCACAUCCUGGGGCUGAAGUAGGUCCCAAGGGUAUGGCUGUUCGCCAUUUAAAGUGGUACGCGAGCUGGGUUUAGAACGUCGUGAGACAGUUCGGUCCCUAUCUGCCGUGGGCGCUGGAGAACUGAGGGGGGCUGCUCCUAGUACGAGAGGACCGGAGUGGACGCAUCACUGGUGUUCGGGUUGUCAUGCCAAUGGCACUGCCCGGUAGCUAAAUGCGGAAGAGAUAAGUGCUGAAAGCAUCUAAGCACGAAACUUGCCCCGAGAUGAGUUCUCCCUGAGACUUAGAGUCUCCUGAAGGAACGUUGAAGACGACGACGUUGAUAGGCCGGGUGUGUAAGCGCAGCGAUGCGUUGAGCUAACCGGUACUAAUGAACCGUGAGGCUUAACCUUACAACGCCGAA
rnacentral:rRNA from 1 species